CCGUUUUUGGGAGUGAGACUGCGGGCGACAAGGUUCGUAGUCGAGAGGGAAACAGCCCAGACCGUCGGCUAAGGUCCCAAAUAGUAUGCUAAGUGUGAAAUGAUGUGUCAUGGCAAAGACAGCCAAGGAGGUUGGCUUAGAAGCAGCCAUUCCUUUAAAGAGUGCGUAAUAGCUCACUGGUCGAGUCAUGACGCGCAGACAAUGUAACGGGGCUAAGCAUACAACCGAAGCCGCGGAAUCAUGCAGYAAUGUAUGGUUGGUAGGGGAGCAUUCCAUGGGCCGAAGAAGGUAAACUGCAAGGUUUGCUGGAGGUAGUGGAAGAGAGAAUGCAGGUAUAAGUACACGAAAAGAGGGGUGAGAUUCCCCUCCGCCGAAAGCCUAAGGAUUCCUGGGUAAAGGUCAUCUGCCCAGGGUAAGUCGGCCCCUAAGGUGAGGACGAAAGUCGUAACCGAUGGGAAACUGGUUCAUAUUCCAGUACCGUUCUUGGUUUUAUGGGAUGACGCGUGAGGUGAAACCCGGCCGGGCGACGGUUGUCCCGGUCAAAGGAGCGAGUUAAUGGUGUUGGAGAAAACGACACCAGAUGAGCUUUUACAGCGAGUGGAGCUACGGCAAAGCGAAGCGGGUGUAAUCAAGGCGCCAAGAAAUAAUCCCCACUAGAUAGGCCAAGAAGACCGUACCGUAAACCGACACAGGUAGGCGGGAUGAGAAAUCUAAGGCGCUCGAGAGAACUCGCGUUAAGGAACUCGGCAAAAUGCGCACGUAACUUCGGGAGAAGUGCGGCCGUUGGCGGUUUUAGCAAUAGAGUCGUUGGCGGCGUCACAAAGCAGUCCCAGGCGACUGUUUAUCAAAAACACAGGCCUCUGCGAACCAGCCAUGAGACGUAU
rnacentral:rRNA from 1 species